GCAAGUCGAACGCUUACUUAGGUAAGAGUGGCAGACGGGUGAGUAACACGUGGGAAUCUACCUAUCUCUACGGAACAACACAUAGAAAUGUGUGCUAAUACCGUAUACGCCCUUCGGGGGAAAGAUUUAUCGGAGAUAGAUGAGCCCGCGUUUGAUUAGCUAGUUGGUGAGGUAAUGGCUCACCAAGGCGACGAUCAGUAUCUGGUUUGAGAGGACGAUC
rnacentral:rRNA from 1 species